rnacentral:rRNA from 1 species
GACAGGUGCUGCAUGGCUGUCGUCAGCUCGUGUCGUGAGAUGUUCGGUUAAGUCCGCUAACGAGCGCAACCCUCGCUGUGUGUUACAAGUGUCACACGGUACUGCCGGUCUUAAGCCGGAGGAAGGUGGGGAUGACGUCAAGUCAGCAUGGCCUUUAUGUCCUGGGCUACACACACGCUACAAUGGCCAACACAAUAGGUUGCUAAGCCGCGAGGUGGAGCCAAUCCUCAAAGUUGGUCUCAGUUCAGAUUGCAGGCUGCAACCCGCCUGCAUGAAGAUGGAGUUGCUAGUAACCGCAGGUCAGCUAUACUGCGGUGAAUACGUUCCCGGGGCUU